UACGUAGGGGGCAAGCGUUGUCCGGAUUUAUUGGGCGUAAAGAGCGUGUAGGCGGCUAGGCAGGUCCGUUGUGAAAACUCGAGGCUCAACCUCGAGACGCCGAUGGAAACCAUCUGGCUAGAGUCCGGAAGAGGAGAGUGGAAUUCCUGGUGUAGCGGUGAAAUGCGCAGAUAUCAGGAAGAACACCCGUGGCGAAGGCGGCUCUCUGGGACGUGACUGACGCUGAGACGCGAAAGCGUGGGGAGCGAACAGG
rnacentral:rRNA from 1 species